GGAAGGGUGCCGGAGUGGACGAUCGGGGCGGUCUCGAAAACCGUUGUGGUCUUUUGGCCACCGAGGGUUCGAAUCCCUCCCCUUCCGCCU
rnacentral:tRNA from 1 species